GAUGAACGCUGGCGGCGUGCCUAAUACAUGCAAGUCGAGCGAACGGACGAGAAGCUUGCUUCUCUGAUGUUAGCGGCGGACGGGUGAGUAACACGUGGAUAACCUACCUAUAAGACUGGGAUAACUUCGGGAGACCGGAGCUAAUACCGGAUGAUAUUUUGAACCGCAUGGUUCAAAAGUGAAAGACGGUCUUGCUGUCACUUAUAGAUGGAUCCGCGCUGCAUUAGCUAGUUGGUAAGGUAACGGCUUACCAAGGCAACGAUGCAUAGCCGACCUGGGAGGGUGAUCGGCCACACUGGAACUGAGACACGGUCCAGACUCCUACGGGAGGCAGCAGUAGGGAAUCUUCCGCAAUGGGCGAAAGCCUGACGGAGCAACGCCGCGUGAGUGAUGAAGGUCUUCGGAUCGUAAAACUCUGUUAUUAGGGAAGAACAUAUGUGUAAGUAACUGUGCACAUCUUGACGGUACCUAAUCAGAAAGCCACGGCUAACUACGUG
rnacentral:rRNA from 1 species